rnacentral:rRNA from 1 species
GGGCCCGCACAAGCGGUGGAGGAUGUGGCUUAAUUCGAGGCUACGCGAAGAACCUUAUCCUAGAUUUGACAUGCUUGAGAAUCCCUAUGAAAAUAGAGAGUGCCCUUCGGGGAGCUCUUGCACAGGUGCUGCAUGGCUGUCGUCAGCUCGUGUCGUGAGAUGUCGGGUUAAGUCCCUUAACGAGCGAAACCCUUAUCUCUAGUUGCCAGCGGGUAAUGCCGGGGACUCUAGAGAGACUGCCGGUGUCAAACCGGAGGAAGGUGGGGAUGACGUCAAGUCCUCAUGGCCUUUAUGUCUAGGGCUGCACACGUCCUACAAUGGUACGGACAAACGGACGCAAUACCGCGAGGUGGAGCAAAUCCUAGAAACCGUGCCUCAGUUCGGAUUGCAGGCUGCAACUCGCCUGCAUGAAGCCGGAAUCGCUAGUAAUCGCAGGUC